rnacentral:lncRNA from 1 species
CCUCCUUCCUUGCACGGGAAAAUAGUUCUUUCUAUAGCAGAUUUCGGGUGAUGGUAUUUUAUAAGUGUUGUUUGCAUUUUUCUUUGAAAUGAUUCUAGUUCUGUCUGUGUCCACUGUAUCACUCCAAAGGAGUAAGUCAGUAACUGGUAUGGCGAAUGUGUUGAUGGCUUUCGCUGUGCUUUUUCCAUUCAGAUGUGUUUUGAGAAUGUUAUUUAAUCUCUUGGUGUACAGUUUUGACAGUGUUUGUUUAGUUUUCUUCUGUAAGUCUGGCCCGCUGGAAUCUCAAAUACUUGUACACUUCAC